UACAGAGGUCUCAAGCGUUGUUCGGAUUCAUUGGGCGUAAAGGGUGCGUAGGCGGCGCGGUAAGUCGGGUGUGAAAUCUCGGAGCUUAAUUCCGAAACUGCAUUCGAUACUGCCGUGCUUGAGGACUGGAGAGGAGACUGGAAUUUACGGUGUAGCGGUGAAAUGCGUAGAUAUCGUAAGGAAGACCAGUGGCGAAGGCGGGUCUCUGGACCGAUACUGACGC
rnacentral:rRNA from 1 species